ACCAUCGAGUCUUUGAACGCAAGUUGCGCCCCAAGCCGCCAGGCCGAGGGCACGCCUGCCUGGGCGUCACGCAACGUCGCCCCCACCACCCCUCGUGGAUGGACGGGAGCGGAUAUUGGCCUCCCGCGUGCAUUGCUCGCGGCUGGCCUAAAAUCGAGUCCCCUGCGC
rnacentral:rRNA from 1 species